UACAGAGACUGCAAGCGUUGUUCGGAUUCAUUGGGCGUAAAGGGUGCGUAGGCGGCGCGGUAAGUCGGGUGUGAAAUCUCGGGGCUUAACUCCGAAACUGCAUUCGAUACUGCCGUGCUUGAGGACUGGAGAGGAGACUGGAAUUUACGGUGUAGCGGUGAAAUGCGUAGAUAUCGUAAGGAAGACCAGUGGCGAAGGCGGGUCUCUGGACAGUUCCUGACGCUGAGGCACGAAGGUCAGGGGAGCAAACGGG
rnacentral:rRNA from 1 species